UUCAUUGUUUAAGAUAAAUGGCUGCAUGCUAGAAUGAUUCAGAGAAGAUUAGCACGGCCCUUGGAGCAAAGAUGACACGCAAAUUCGUGAAGCAUUCCAUAUGAAA
ensembl:snRNA U6 U6 spliceosomal RNA